rnacentral:rRNA from 1 species
UACGUAGGGUGCGAGCGUUGUCCGGAAUUAUUGGGCGUAAAGAGCUUGUAGGCGGUCUGUCGCGUCUGCUGUGAAAAUCCGGGGCUCAACCCCGGACUUGCAGUGGGUACGGGCAGACUAGAGGUGUGGUAGGGGAGACUGGAAUUCCUGGUGAUAGCGGUGAAAUGCGCAGAUAUCAGGAGGAACACCGAUGGCGAAGGCAGGUCUCUGGUACGUGA